rnacentral:rRNA from 1 species
UAGGGAAUAUUGGACAAUGGGGGCAACCCUGAUCCAGCCAUGCCGCGUGAGUGAAGAAGGCCCUCGGGUUGUAAAGCUCUUUUGUCCGGAAAGAAAAGCUUCGGGUUAAUACCCCGGGGUUCUGACGGUACCGGAAGAAUAAGCACCGGCUAACUUCGUGCCAGCAGCCGCGGUGAUACGAAGGGUGCAAGCGUUACUCGGAAUUACUGGGCGUAAAGCGUGCGUAGGUGGUUGUCUAAGUCUGAUGUGAAAGCCCUGGGCUCAACCUGGGAAUGGCAUUGGAAACUGGGCAGCUAGAGUGCGGUAGAGGGUAGUGGAAUUCCCGGUGUAGCAGUGAAAUGCGUAGAGAUCGGGAGGAACAUCUGUGGCGAAGGCGACUGCCUGGACCAGCACUGACACUGAGGCACGAAAGCGUGGGGAGCAAACA